rnacentral:rRNA from 1 species
UGGGGAAUUUUGGACAAUGGGCGAAAGCCUGAUCCAGCAAUGCCGCGUGUGUGAAGAAGGCCUUCGGGUUGUAAAGCACUUUUGUCCGGAAAGAAAUCCUUGGCUCUAAUACAGUCGGGGGAUGACGGUACCGGAAGAAUAAGCACCGGCUAACUACGUGCCAGCAGCCGCGGUAAUACGUAGGGUGCAAGCGUUAAUCGGAAUUACUGGGCGUAAAGCGUGCGCAGGCGGUUUGCUAAGACCGAUGUGAAAUCCCCGGGCUCAACCUGGGAACUGCAUUGGUGACUGGCAGGCUAGAGUAUGGCAGAGGGGGGUAGAAUUCCACGUGUAGCAGUGAAAUGCGUAGAGAUGUGGAGGAAUACCGAUGGCGAAGGCAGCCCCCUGGGCCAAUACUGACGCUCAUGCACGAAAGCGUGGGGAGCAAACAGGAUUAGAUACCCUGGUAGUCCACGCCCUAAACGAUGUCAACUAGUUGUUGGGGAUUCAUUUCCUUAGUAACGUAGCUAACGCGUGAAGUUGACCGCCUGGGGAGUACGGUCGCAAGAUUAAAACUUCAAAUGAAUUGACGGGGU